rnacentral:rRNA from 1 species
UUAAAUUGAAGAGUUUGAUCAUGGCUCAGAUUGAACGCUGGCGGAAGGCCUAACACAUGCAAGUCGUACGGUAACAGGAAGAAGCUUGUUUCUUUGCUGACGAGUGGCGGA